rnacentral:lncRNA from 1 species
CAACCGGAAAACGAGUUACUCGCUCAGGAAAAUCAGCACUUGGGGCUAUCGGUCCACGAAUCAUAUGGAAUUUCAUCCCAAGCCAGCAACUGAGAAAACGGCGGAUCUUGGUGCUACUGUCGCAAACCCAUAACAUUGAAAGCUGGGUGGCGGUGAUAAAGAGGGGUCAUGCAUUUACAGAAUUCCUCAUUGGUCUCGCAGCUUCCGAUGGAAUAUGACCAAAAACAACAGGGAAUUUCACUUCAAAGGUGGGUUCCCUUCUGGGAUAUUGAAUGCCAUAGAUUUUUGGUUAUCUCUGCAAGCAACUAACUCCUAAUGCCGCUGCAACAGAAUUGAGUUGAAAGCUAACCGUCCCACCUUAGAAAGGCCUCGCUCCACGCUUUCUUUUGAGUCAACUCUAUCCAUUCUUGUUUCAAGCUAAAAGCUUGAGGCUUUUACUUCUUCAACUCGAGUUCGCCACAGAACCCAUCUCUGGAAC